rnacentral:rRNA from 1 species
UUAACUCACACCCAUAAGCGCCAGGGAACUACGAGCCACGCUUAAAACCCAAAGGAUUUGACGGUGUCCCACCCCCCUAGAGGAGCCUGUUCUAUAAUCGAUGAUCCCCGCUAUACCCCACCACCCCUUGCUCGUCAGUCUGUAUACCUCCGUCGAAAGCUUACCAUGUGAACGUCUAUAGUAAGUUCAAUGACCCAUGCCAAUGCGUCAACACGUCAGGUCAAGGUGCAGCUUAAGAGGUGGAAAGUGAUGGGCUACAAUUUCUAAUCUAGAACAAACGAAAGGCCAUGUGAAAUCGUGGCCACGAAGGCGGAUUUAGUAGUAAAAAGAAAAUAGAGUGUUCUUUUUAACCCGGCUCUGGGACGCGUACACACCGCCCGUCACCCUCUUCAAUAGUAUUACCCAAGUUUCUAACCCGUUUUUACAUCUCAGAAGAGGCAAGUCGUAACAUGGUAAGUGUACUGGAAAGUGCACUUGGUAUAA